UACGGAGGGUGCAAACGUUGCUCGGAAUCAUUGGGCGUAAAGCGCACGUAGGCGGGCUGCUAAGUCGGACGUGAAAUCCCUCGGCUUAACCGAGGAAGUGCAUUCGAAACUGGCAGUCUUGAGUACGGGAGAGGGUCGCGGAAUUCCCGGUGUAGAGGUGAAAUUCGUAGAUAUCGGGAGGAACACCAGUGGCGAAGGCGGCGGCCUGGACCGAUACUGACGCUGAGGUGCGAAAGCGUGGGGAGCAAACAGG
rnacentral:rRNA from 1 species